rnacentral:lncRNA from 1 species
AAUAGCUAUGUUCAAUGACAUUUAUUAAACCUUUAACCUUUCAUUUACCCAAUCUUUGGCGAGGCCCUAGGGCUCACCCAUAACUCAUCUUUCAAUCCCAAAGUGGGGAGGGAGCUCCAAGUGCACCCAAGCCCGGGACCGUCUGCGGACCUCCAUGUGGUCCGGACCUCCAAGUGGUCCUAGUCGCGCGACACUCCGGAGUACUCGACGACAAUCCCCUCUAUGUGGGGAUUGGAUGGCCAUACCAUCCUAAAUGCAGACUGUGAGCUAGAUCUAUCCUCUCCAAGUGAGGAUACACUGUAACUAGGGUCACACCCAAUCCAAUCCUCUCCAAGUGAGGAGGCUCUACAACUAGAGUCAAUAGCCCGAUCGAAUCCUCUCCAAGUGAGGAAGCACUCUGUAACUAGAGUCAACAUCUCUCGCGGGAUCAUUUGUUCCCGACAUUCACGCAAUGCCAUUUAGUUUUCUAAAUUCAUUGUUCACAAGGCAUUUUCUAAGGGAUCCACCUAUCCCUAGGUCCAUCGACCUCUAGUGUCAUUUACACUACAUUAAUGCCACUCGUCAUCAUUUAACAUUUGGAUGCCACUCGUGUGUUCUUUAACACUAAACACUACUUUCUAUGUCAUCAAUACCCCCAUCGGGUUCAUCUCUUUUCUUUCACAUCAUAGGAUCCACGUUCCGACCCAAUCCUCACCUAUCUAAGUUACCAAGCGUUCCAAGUACACUAGGUUAUCAAUUAGAAAGCAUAAGGAAUGGAGCUACUAUGCAAUCCUACAAUGCAACAUGAAGAGAUGAGAUUAAAUGCAAUCUAAGACAUAGAAAGGAGUUCGAAAGCUUCGGGAUGACACCCCCCACCUUUUACCAACGUAGAGG